rnacentral:lncRNA from 1 species
CAGCAUACUGGUUCCUCUCCGCUCUCAAGGCUUCAUAAGCAGUUCCCAUUUCACAAGUUUUCUGCACCAAGAAACAAAGGGUAAUCAGCAAGUUUCUCAAUACACAGUAUAAGUUCUUCAGACCCCUGCCGACGCAAGCAGUCGACAGCGGUCUCGGGGACUACACCCAGUGGGUUCACUAAGAGUGACCCCACUGGCAUGCACCUCAAGCAGGCCCGCCCUAUUGAGAUGCAUGUUUUCACCUACGCCUCAGGGGCUAAUACUACUCGACCUGCGUGCAACUUACUCUCGGAGACUCUUACCGCAAGAGCGCUCCGACUGCAAUAAGUACUCGCACUCGGAAGCCUUGUAUACGGACACAACCAAACUAAAGACCAAAUAUAUAAAGACAACUGUCGGUGCAAGCACUCGACAGAAGUCUCGGGGACUACACCCACUGGGUUCACUCGGAGUGAACCCAUUGCAAACAACAGACAACACCUAGUGGGUUACAGAAGAAAAGUAAGUACUUACUAGACUACUUACUCGGAUGUCAUCGCGCAGCUCCAAGCUCCGCUGGUACAAAGCCGCAACGGAGUCAUAAGCCCUCUUGGCCUCUCCGGCCAUCAGCUCCGCCUAGACCAUGGCCCCCUUGGCCGCUCCCACCUGCUCCUCUGGGACACACCG